CCUACGGGAGGCAGCAGUGAGGAAUAUUGGUCAAUGGACGGAAGUCUGAACCAGCCAAGCAGCGUGCAGGAUGACGGCCCUAUGAGUUGUAAACUGCUUUUAUACGAGGAUAAACCCCGUUACGUGUAGCGGUUUGAAAGUACCGUAUGAAUAAGGAUCGGCUAACUCCGUGCCAGCAGCCGCGGUAAUACGGAGGAUCCGAGCGUUAUCCGGAUUUAUUGGGUUUAAAGGGUGCGUAGGCGGUAUGAUAAGUGAGCUGUGAAAUGUCGGGGCUCAACCCCGGAAUUGCAGCUGAUACUGUUUGGCUAGAGUACGGGUGAGGUAGGCGGAAUGUGUGGUGUAGCGGUGAAAUGCUUAGAGAUGAUGAAGAACACCGAUUGCGAAGGCAGCUUACUGAAGUGUAACUGACGUUGAGGCACGAAAGCGUGGGUAGCGAACAGGAUUAGAUACCCUUGUAGUC
rnacentral:rRNA from 1 species